rnacentral:lncRNA from 1 species
CUCUUCUCCUCUCCGAGCUAUUUGAAGACUCUAGGAGAGUUUAGAAUUAAAUAUUACGUUAAAUCAAGUUUGAGAUUGAAGUUUUAAAGUAGACUGGAUGUUUAGUAAUCAAAAGUGACUAAGAAGUUAUCGGGUCUGCCUGCGGAUGCCCUUGAAGGACAAGAAUGGGUGAUUUGCAGCUCAUGGUUGGUUAGAAGCAGAGUAAAACAGUUACAUCAUUAUACUGCACUGAAGCACGUGCUUCCACAGUUAAAUAACCUAAAUUACUCUUAUGAAUUAAGAGAAGAGAGUCAAAGAGCUGUAUCUUGGAAGAAACUGGCAUGUUGCACUUAAAGGACUAGAGAAGAGAAGGAUGGAGUCAUAUAGAGACUCAACGUGACGGAGUGAGUAAACUGAGUUCAGAGAAGCAGAAGGACUUCCAAAGGCCACUCAACUUGGCAGAGCUCACCCUGGACCCAGGCCUCAGAACAUCGAGCCCAGGUCUCUACCUUGACCAGGAUUUUCCUGGCUCUGUUUUGUGAGUACUCAAUUUCUCUUACCAUGUGUGAAAAAUGUUAAUAACCUUCUCUCUCCAAACAUUCUUCCCCAGAGGAAUAAUAGAUCAAGGAGAGAGAGAGGUUUGCCAUCAUGGAG